rnacentral:rRNA from 1 species
AUUCCAGCUCCAAUAGCGUAUAUUAAAGUUGUUGCGGUUAAAAAGCUCGUAGUUGGAUUUCUGCCGAGGACGACCGGUCCGCCCUCUGGGUGAGCAUCUGGCUCGGCCUGGGCAUCCUCUUGGAGAACGUAGCUGCACUUGACUGUGUGGGGCGGUAUCCAGGACUUUUACUUUGAGGAAAUUAGAGUGUUUCAAGCAGGCAUACGCCUUGAAUACAUUAGCAUGGAAUAAUAAGAUAGGACCUCGGUUCUAUUUUGUUGGUUUCUAGAGCUGAGGUAAUGAUUAAUAAGGAUAGUUGGGGGUAUUCGUAUUUGAUUGUCAGAGGUGAAAUUCUUGGAUUUUUCAAAGAUGAACAAGUGCGAAAGCAUUUACCAAGGAUGUUUUCAUUA